rnacentral:rRNA from 1 species
AUUGAACGCUGGCGGCAGGCCUAACACAUGCAAGUCGAGCGAGCGGCGGACGGGUGAGUAAUGUCUGGCAAACUGCCUGCUGGAGGUGGAUAACUACUGGCAACGGUAGCUCAUACCGCAUACAAUCAGAUGUCCACCGAUGGAUUAGCGAGUAGGUGGGGGAACGGCUCACCUAGGCGACGAUCCCUAGCUGGUCUGAGAGGAUGACAAGCCACACUGGAACGUAGACACGGUGCAGAAUCAUACGGGAGGCAGCAGUGGGGAAUAUUGGACAAUGGGCGAAAGCCUGAUGCAGCCAUGCCGCGUGUGUGAAGAAGGCCUGAGGGUUGUAAAGCACUUGCAGCUGGGAGGCGUUACCCGCAGAAGAAGCACCGGCUAACUCCGUGCCAGCAGCCGCGGUAAUAC